UGCUGGCUUAUUGUUAUUGAGAUAGAUGGAAUUCCUGAGACAAAAUGACCGGUAAAUAUCAUAUCUGUUUUGUUUUUUGUAAUGUUAAAAACUGUAGUUCAUGUCUGGCCAUUUCAGAAGGAGCAGGUUGACUUGGUCCCUCAAUGAGGUUUUGGACAUUUGGGUAGUGAGCUAGGUUAUGGUUGGCCAGAACCUGAACCAAAUUCACUCCAUUGCCUUUGCUCCUUAUCUGC